UAUGAUCCCUUCGUUAUCUCUUAUUUCGUCUCACUUCCUAUCAUCUAAACCCAAUCAGUGAUAUCGCAAGAGGGGACAACAAUGAUCGCAAGUGUGAAACUGUUACAAGUGCUGCAUCUAGGAGCCGAGGCUUCUUUGAGAAGAGGGAGGACUCAUGAAGACAAUUUUGGUUCUUCCACUUUCUGGAGAAGGGGAGAGAAGGUAAGGAAUUUGAGAAUAAAAGUGGCCUUCAUUUUGAGAAAGGGGGAACCAACAUAGAAAAGAUUAACAGAACAAACAUGUUAGAUUUAUGCCCUAAAAGCCAAUCUGGCUGACACAUUAUU
rnacentral:lncRNA from 1 species